rnacentral:sRNA from 1 species
UAACGAUAUCGUCUGCAAAUCGGAGGUGU